UACGUAGGGUGCAAGCGUUGUCCGGAAUUAUUGGGCGUAAAGGGCUCGUAGGCGGUCUGUUGCGUCGGGAGUGAAAACUCAGGGCUUAACCCUGAGCCUGCUUCCGAUACGGGCAGACUAGAGGUAUGCAGGGGAGAACGGAAUUCCUGGUGUAGCGGUGAAAUGCGCAGAUAUCAGGAGGAACACCGGUGGCGAAGGCGGUUCUCUGGGCAUUACCUGACGCUGAGGAGCGAAAGCGUGGGGAGCGAACAGG
rnacentral:rRNA from 1 species